AUUUUCGGAAUCGCACUUGUCACCUAGAAAAUCGAUACGAAUAAAAUAUCAAAAUAUCACAUUUUUUCGUGACUGCACGAAAAUAAUAAAAUCUUUAAAAAGACAUAAAAACACCUCAAAAAAUAGCCGAAUUGCACCAGUCACCUUAGAAUAUUGAUUCGAAUAAAAUCACAUUUUUUCGGGACUGCACGAAAAAUAUCAAAAAAUUUAAUUCAAAAACAUCUGAAAAAUAUAAAAAUCAACAAAAAGACAUAAAACCACGUUAAAAAUUUUUCGAAUCACACCAG
rnacentral:lncRNA from 1 species